GAGAGAGAGAGAGACAGAGAACCCCACUGUAGGGAGAGAAUGAAGCUCAAAACUUACAUGGAAUUGAAAAAGACAUGAAGGAGCUAAGGGAAAUCAUCUCUGAUUAUGAAAUUCAAGCUUGAGAUAAGCAUUCUAAGUCUUAACUUUGUAGAAAAAUCCUCUACACAUCUUGAAUUAAGGUCAAGUGCAAGGAUGAAUCGAGCAUCGGAACAUUAUGGAUGUCGGUUCCAAUCAACGUCGAUUAGUAACAGCUUUGAAUAGAAGACUCCGUGAAUUAGAGAAUGCUAAAUGUGGACGUGGACGUAGACGUAGACGUAGAUAUGGACCUACUCAAGUGCAUAAUGAUGAUGCAUACAUUGCCAUAGAUGAUAAUCCUAUACAUGAUGCACCAACUAUGGAUGAUAUUGCUAUAUUGGUGAUGAUAUUGAUAUUGUUGAUGAAGAUAUCCUUACUAAUCCAUUUCUAGGAGGGCCAAUGAAUCCAUCAAUCCAUAAAAGUUUUAAAAGUCAUGUUGCUACAACUAUAGAUGCUACAUUUGUAAACAUUGUGAAGCUAUCAGGGCUUGCACAUUUAGCUCAUUGCAUAUAUUGCUUCGUCAACAAAAUUGUU